UACGGAGGGGGCUAGCGUUGUUCGGAAUUACUGGGCGUAAAGCGCACGUAGGCGGCUUUGUAAGUUAGAGGUGAAAGCCCGGGGCUCAACUCCGGAACUGCCUUUAAGACUGCAUCGCUUGAAUCCGGGAGAGGUGAGUGGAAUUCCGAGUGUAGAGGUGAAAUUCGUAGAUAUUCGGAAGAACACCAGUGGCGAAGGCGGCUCACUGGACCGGGUAUUGACGCUGAGGUGCGAAAGCGUGGGGGAGCAAACAGG
rnacentral:rRNA from 1 species